rnacentral:tRNA from 1 species
AAUUAGAAAGCGAAUUUUGCACUUAGUUUCGACCUAAAUUUUGGUUUAUAUAUAACCUCUAAUUA